AUACGUAGGUGACAAGCGUUAUCCGGAUUUACUGGGCGUAAAGGGCGUGUAGGCGGUCUUGCAAGUCAGAAGUGAAAUUCCAGAGCUCAACUCGGGCGCUGCUUCUGAAACUGCAGGACUUGAGUGCUGGAGGGGAUAGCGGAAUUCCUAGUGGAGCGGUAAAAUGCGCAGAUAUUAGGAAGAACACCGGUGGCGAAGGCGGCUAUCUGGACAGUAACUGACGCUGAGGCGCGAAAGCGUGGGGAGCAAACAGGAUUAGAUACCCUGGUAGUCCACACUGUAAACGAUGAAUGCUAGGUGUAGGGGGUAUCGACCCCUUCUGUGCCGCAGUCAACACAAUAAGCAUUCCGCCUGGGGAGUACGGCCGCAAGGUUGAAACUCAAAUGAAUUGACGGGG
rnacentral:rRNA from 1 species